CCGGAUUUAGCGCAGUUUGGUAGCGCACAUCAUUUGGGAUGAUGGGGUCAUUGGUUCGAGUCCAAUAAUCCGGACCA
rnacentral:tRNA from 1 species